AUGCUUAUAUUCAAAUAUACUCUCUAUUCAAAUGUAUAUAAAAGCAAGAUAGAUUAGUAUUAAUCGACCACGGAAUGGUUAUAAUACUACUAUAUAGAAAAGAAUGGAAGAGAAAGAGAGAAAUCUUCCGCGGAAUCCCACGAAUAUCGAUUUAACGCAGGACGAUCUUUCGUAUCUCCGUUAAAACGGCUCGUUCACGGACUUAUCGAAGCCGGUUUAUGAGGCGUCCGAAUCGAAUUUUUCCGGCAACGACGGCGCAUAAUCAUUACAUCGGACGCCGGUUUAACCAGUCUCGAUAACAUCUUUCCCAUGCUAAAUAUACCACGGUGCCGGCUAAAUCCGUAUCGUGGAUUCGCGGUAUUAAAUCGUGCGGUUGCGCCGGUCGCAAAAACCGGGUCUCUUUCGGUUUUUGAGCAAUGACCGCGUUGCAAUUCAUUUCGAGGUCUUGUUAAACUCGCCACGACAUCAUAAAUUCUCCACCGGAUACGUUAUCUCGUAAUUGUUUCGUUAGAUGUUAAUUACCGGUAGAUUUAAGGCGUUGUAAACGUAAAUGUAAGCUAAUGUAAAUCAUUAAUUCUAACUUUGAAUAUCUUCUUAAAAAAAUAAUCAUUUUCUUGCGAUAAUUUAAGCGAAACCGACGAUUGAAAUUUCCGCCAUUAAUUAUAGAUGGCUCGCGAUUUUGCGCGUUUCGCAUUGCGCACUGUGGCGAACUGAUUCUCUUGCGCAGACGCCUGUCAGCUUGCUUUCUUCGUCGUGAAAUUGCCGCCGAACGUAACGUGUGAAAGAUUAAUGUGUUCGUGAAUAGCGGAAUGAAUUAGCUGUGCAAGAUUAAUCGCAGCCGAGCUGGGACGAUGAAUUAUCCGCGAUUCGAAAAAUCAAUAAGAGAGGAUCAUUGAACUCGAAGGAACUCGGGGAGCGACAGAAUUCGAGACACGAUAAGACAAUAUGAAUUUCGCGCGAUUCCGAGUCGGUCGAAACUUUGCACGGGCGAUCCUUCGUGAAACGUUGUAUAAAAGUCCGAUUGAUUUAUGCGAUCGCGGCGCCUUCCUUU